GCGGUAUUAGCUCAGCUGGUAGAGCGCGACGUUGCCAUCGUCGAGGUCGCCGAUUCGAAUUCGGCAUACCGCUCCA
rnacentral:tRNA from 1 species